AACGAACGCUGGCGGCAUGCCUAACACAUGCAAGUCGAACGAAGCCUUCGGGCUUAGUGGCGCACGGGUGCGUAACGCGUGGGAAUCUGCCCUUUGGUUCGGAAUAACAGUUGGAAACGACUGCUAAUACCGGAUGAUGACGAAAGUCCAAAGAUUUAUCGCCAGAGGAUGAGCUCGCGUAGGAUUAGCUAGUUGGAGUGGUAAAGGCGCACCAAGGCGACGAUCCUUAGCUGGUCUGAGAGGAUGAUCAGCCACACUGGGACUGAGACACGGCCCAGACUCCUACGGGAGGCAGCAGUGGGGAAUAUUGGACAAUGGGCGAAAGCCUGAUCCAGCAAUGCCGCGUGAGUGAUGAAGGCCCUAGGGUUGUAAAGCUCUUUUACCCGGGAUGAUAAUGACAGUACCGGGAGAAUAAGCCCCGGCUAACUCCGUGCCAGCCGCCGCAGUAA
rnacentral:rRNA from 1 species